CACCGCGGUUAUACGAGGGGCCCCAGUUGAUAAACACGGCGUAAAGAGUGGUUAAGGAUUAUAUCGAACUAAAGCCGAAGUUCCCCUGGGCCGUCAUACGCAUCUGGAAGGUACGAAGCCCUAUCACGAAAGUAGCUUUACUCAAGCCUACCCGACCCCACGACAGCUGAGAUA
rnacentral:rRNA from 1 species